GCCAGGCAUGGUGGUGCAUGCCUGUUAAUCCCAGCUACUCUGGAGGCUGAGGCAGGAGAACCCCAAGUUGGAUCCUAGCCAGGACAACUUAGUAAGACCCUGUCUCAA
rnacentral:sRNA from 1 species